rnacentral:tRNA from 2 species
GGGGGUGUAGCUCAGUGGUAGAGCGCGUGCUUAGCAUGCACGAGGCCCUGGGUUCGAUCCCCAGUACCUCCA